rnacentral:rRNA from 1 species
GACGAACGCUGGCGGCGUGCUUAACACAUGCAAGUCGAACGGAAAGGCCCUGCUUUUGUGGGGUGCUCGAGUGGCGAACGGGUGAGUAACACGUGAGUAACCUGCCCUUGACUUUGGGAUAACUUCAGGAAACUGGGGCUAAUACCGGAUAGGAGCUCCUGCUGCAUGGUGGGGGUUGGAAAGUUUCGGCGGUUGGGGAUGGACUCGCGGCUUAUCAGCUUGUUGGUGGGGUAGUGGCUUACCAAGGCUUUGACGGGUAGCCGGCCUGAGGGGGUGACCGGCCACAUUGGGACUGAGAUACGGACCAGACUACUACGGGAGGCAGCAGUGGGGAAUAUUGCACAAUGGACGGAAGCCUGAUGCAGCAACGCCGCGUGCGGGAUGACGGCCUUCGGGUUGUAAAACGCUUUCGCCUGUGACGAAGCGUGAGUGACAGUAAUGGGUAAAGAAGCACCGGCUAACUACGUG